rnacentral:rRNA from 1 species
AUUGCACGCUGGCGGCAGGCCUAACACAUGCAAGUCGAACGAGUGGCGGACGGGUGAGUAAUGUCUGGGAAACUGCCUGAUGGAGGGGGAUAACUACUGGAAACGGUAGCUAAUACCGCAUACCAUCGGAUGUGCCCAGAGGGGAUUAGCUAGUAGGUGGGGUAAAGGCUAACCUAGGCGACGAGCCCUAGCUGGUCUGCGAGGAUGACCAGCCACACUGGAACUGAGACACGGUCCAGACUCCUACGGGAGGCAGCAGUGGGGAAUAUUGCACAAUGGGCGCAAGCCUGAUGCAGCCAUGCCGCGUGUAUGAAGAAGGCCUUCGGGUUGUAAAGUACUUUCAGCGGGGAGGCGUUACCCGCAGAAGAAGCACAGGCUAACUCCGUGCCAGCCGCCGCGGUAAUAC